rnacentral:lncRNA from 1 species
CAGCCUUCUUCUAGCAGAACCAGGCCAGGAUGGAGGAGCCCUGGGCAUUGCCUUGCUCAGCUCCCCCAGAGCUGCUGAGCACCUCCAAGAUGGAAAUACCGAAGCAUAUAAAAGGUGAAAUUAAUUAGCUGAGAUGAUACAACGACUCUGCAGCAGAACUGAAGAUCCUGAAAAACACUUCUCCUUUUCUGACUCUGAAAGUGGUAUGUAUACACUUAGAAGAAAGAAAGGGAACAUGGCAGCUACGAGUGUCUUCUCACAUCAUUCACCAUUGGAUAGAGUGCUAAUCUACCUGCAAACCCAGCCCCUUUGACAUUUGCCAGAUAGACAACUAUAAAAAGGUAAAUCAGAAAUUCAAAUGCUUAUACAGCCUAAAACACCCUUUAA